rnacentral:rRNA from 1 species
UACGUAGGUGGCAAGCGUUGUCCGGAAUUAUUGGGCGUAAAGCGCGCGCAGGCGGUCCUUUAAGUCUGAUGUGAAAGCCCACGGCUCAACCGUGGAGGGUCAUUGGAAACUGGGGGACUUGAGUGCAGAAGAGGAGAGUGGAAUUCCACGUGUAGCGGUGAAAUGCGUAGAGAUGUGGAGGAGCACCAGUGGCGAAGGCGACUCUCUGGUCUGUAACUGACGCUGAGGCGCGAAAGCGUGGGGAGCAAACAGG